rnacentral:rRNA from 1 species
UACGUAGGGUGCAAGCGUUGUCCGGAAUUAUUGGGCGUAAAGAGCUCGUAGGCGGUCUGUCGCGUCGGCUGUGAAAACCCGGAGCUCAACUCCGGGCCUGCAGUCGAUACGGGCAAACUGGAGUACUGCAGGGGAGACUGGAAUUCCUGGUGUAGCGGUGAAAUGCGCAGAUAUCAGGAGGAACACCGGUGGCGAAGGCGGGUCUCUGGGCAGUAACUGACGCUGAGGUGCGAAAGCAUGGGGAGCGAACAGG